rnacentral:lncRNA from 1 species
UUGCACCGACAGUUUGUAUUUUCAUCGACGCACAAGACAAAUCACUACCAGCUUUGCACCGUCUUUUGAGAACCAGCAACAACAAGAUUCAGUGUGCUCAAUGCUUAUGCAUGGCCUUGAAAAAUGUCUACAAUGAAGGCAUUGAUGUUCGUUUGAGAUGAUCCGCCUUCUUCAAUAGCAUCAUGACAUAUCUGUUUAAGUUCUCUGGCCCUUCUUCUCAUUUCUCUCCCUUCAUCGUCCUCCAAAUCCAUAAACUUCUGCGCCAGCACAGCAAUCUCCUCGCUAGUCACCAAAUGGUCGAUUUUGUCCUCAGCCUUCCUCAACCUCCACCCAACUUUCCAAUCCUCCACAAUCAUCUUACUAACCAUGCCUUGAUCCAUACGUAACGGAAAGGUCAGAAACGGGACACCAGCAAAAACACCUUCCCUAACCGAGUUCCAACCGCAAUGUGUCAAAAACCCACCAACACUAGAAUGGCACAAAACCCUCAAUUGUUCACACCAAGGCACUACCAAACCCAUGUCGCCACAAGCAUUUUUUAACCUGUCCGUUUCCCCACGGGCCACCCAUAUGAACCGAACCCUACUCAAGCGCAAACCGCCUGCAAUCUCAUCCAUUUGGGCACCUGAAAAUGAAAGAAAACUUCCCAUGGAGAUGUACAGAACAGAGCUGAAAGGUUGAGAAUCUAGCCAUUGUAGAUAGUUGAUUCCAGAACUCGGGUGAUCGUUGGAUUUGAUGUAGGGUAUUAAUGGACCAAUUGUGUAAAUGGGUAGUGAGAAUAUUGAUCUUAAACGUCGAUGACUUGGGGUUCAAGCUCAUAGAUGGAGGGGAAUAAGAGAUAUUGUGCUCUAGGCACCCAUGAGAAAUCUUCAAGGAUGUGGUGGAGAAUGUUUGGGAAGAUUUCACUAAUGAAGGGCAGGUCUGCUAGUCGUGUUGAAGAAACACCUGGGAUGUAGUCCACACGUUCAUUUCCCCUCUCUAUAAACACACAGGAUAGCAUAAAAAUUUAAAAACAAAAUGGAGGGCACAAAAUUGUGACCCAUGUGGUGAAAAAGAUUCUUAGUACAAACUGAACUUUGUGGUUAAGCAUGCUCGAUCUAAUCCAAAUCGAACUUUGUAUCCUAAUUUUGAGCAAUCUAACCGGAACUGGAUCCAAAAGGAUCUGAGUCCAUUAAUUAAUGAAUCUGGACCAUUGAUAUUUGAUACAACGAUUACAAUUAUUAUAACUUUAAAUGAAUCUUCUGUUUGUAAUCGUUAGAUCAAAUUUCAAUGAUCCGAAUUCAUUGAUUAGUGGGCUCUGGAAUGAAUCUAGUUCCAAUUUAACCCAUGUGGACAUCAUGUGCAAAGAUGAAAAGAUCAUUUUAAGACGUAUAAGCUUGUUAAUUUAUAUCUUAAAACUUGCUUGAAAAGAUCGAUUCACCUUUCUACAGGAAGCACACACUAGUUAAACUUAGUAGUGGACAAAAUUAGAUUGUUAGGUUUGAUGUGGAAGCACACACUGGAAUGAACGUUUCACUCUUUCAUGAAGUACUUUAAAUUCUUUUUCAAGAUUUCUUUGAGUUUUUAUUAAAUAUUAGUUCUAAAAACAUUUUUAUCAAAAAUAUUUUAAAUUAUUUAAAAAUAUAUCUAAAUAAGUUUUAAGAUAAAAAAAUGCGUUCGUAUAAAAAUUAAAAAUUAAAAAAAAAAGGGACAAAGACACUAACCUAACAAGUCAACCGGGAAAUGCCCGUUGUCUGCUAAAAGAUGAAAAUGUUGGAAAAAGGAGAAAAAGGACGCCGGCAUCGGCCAAAACGACGCCGCCGGGAUACUCCUCCGGUUCCCAACACGGACCGCCCAAGGCAGGAAAGUGUCGGCCACGAUCAGGCUCGGCGGAGGCUCGAGGCGAUCCAUGAGCCGCUCGAAUGGGGCCUCCAUCUUGGUCAUGAUGGCUUCGAUGAAGCUGUACAUGUCGGCGGCGCGGACCAGCUCCGACGGGACAACGUUGGGAAUCGUGGUGAGUCGGAUGUUGUCCGGGGUGACUUCGGAUCCAAUGAAACCGGACCACUCCUCCGUGACGACGAAGGUGAUGAGGAUGUCAGUCUUUUGUGAAGUCAGUAGCUUGCAGAGGUUCAUCAUCGGGUUGAUGUGGCCCCGACCGGGAUACGGCACGGCCACCACGUGGCAGAUAGGGCCUGUCUGGUCUUUGGUGGAGUUCAUGUCUGGGUUUAAGAAGACGACGACCUAACUCUGUAGUUGUAUAUAACUUUGUUUGGACCCAAAUUUACAUCAUCGGCCCAUGUAAUCAAAGCCGUUGAGUAAACGUAGUUCUCAACCGUCGGAUGGAAAAGUGGAGAUAAUUUUUAUUGUUAAAGGAUAAUAUUAUGAUUUUUAUCAUAAUAUUUAUCGUUUAAAAAAUUAUCUUGAUUUUUUCUUGUACAAGAUGAGGUGCAAAUUAUAUCUUCAAAGUGAGCAGUACAGUUCUAUUUAAUUUGGGGUUCUUGGGAUUUAAACGUGAGGUAGAUUAGAGCAUCGGAGUAUUUUAUUGUUAUUAUCCAUUUAAAAGUGGGUGAUAAAUGGUGGAUAAAUGUUGUUGAGCACGUAGCUUGGAAUCGAUCAAGAUGGUUUGUUGAGAUGCAUGCAUGAUGCAUGGAUGGGAUGAAAUUAUGAGAUAAAAUGAAUUUAAUAUUCAUUUAAAGGAAGCCUAGAAACGUAGGUCUUUUUGGUGAUGUGAUGAUACGGUAGGCUAGGUUUUUAAUGCUUAUUUCUUGGGUUGGUUCCGUGAAGAUGGAUGGAGGAAAGCAAGUGGUGAAGCCACGUCACCAAAGAUCAAAUCCUUUAUAGAUCAAGUCACGUCAGAUAUGGGAAUUUGAAAUAAGAGUCUGAUCCACGUCAAGAAAUUCUCACGCAAUACUCGGCAGCACAUCCCUAUAAAUACAGAGGCAGUAGCAACGAAGAGAACACCCCCACAAAAUCAAUACAAAAUUGCCCUGCGCAAACUUUCACAACUUGUGAUUUUUUUUUUUUCCUUUUUCGCUGACACAUCUUCCGUUGGCAUCAACAGCACUGUGGAAGCAACCGGUGAUAUCUUAAGUCGGCAUAGAUAGCUCUGUCACCGUAGAGUCAGUCAGUCUCGCAGUACCUUCCGUUGGCAUCAACAGCACUGCGGCGAGAACGAUUGAUUACCUAUCCAAGUCUCGGUCGAGAAGGGUUUCUAAAUCCUUAUUGGUCGAGGUCAUCUCAUCAGCCUUCUCGGCGAAGUGAGGUGUUACAGUUAUUACAUUCGGCACAUUGAAAGCCGAAUUUGAUAUUGAACUUCGUAAGAAUAGUAACCUUGUCUUCAGGUUCGAGAGCCCAAGAGGCCGAGACGUGUUCCUUUCUCGGCCGCAAUCGCAAGACGCAGAAGUCAGUAGCGCGACCCAACGCAACAUCAACAAAUUUACUCCUCGGCCGACGAGUUGGCACGCCCCGCAUUCACCGAAGGACGUAGUUAGCUCAUUAAUUACUCGGCUUGCGCGCCACGUAGGCUUUGUAGUUUCUAGGGUCAACAAACUUAUAAGUGGUUAUAUAGAGAUGGAUAUAUACAGAGGAGAAAGAAGGCAAUUACAUCUGAAAUUAAGUUUCCAACUUUCCAUUGUUGGCUUGGCUUGCUUGAUUUGAUCAAAAUACUCUCUUUUUAUGAAGGACUUAGAUUGUCUGUCCUCACAUCGGCUUAGAUUGUCUGUCCUCACAUCCCAUAUCAUUUCCAUGUCCUUUUAUUUAUGUGGUCAUGAUCAAGGUAUAAAAUAUCGAUGAUAUCGGAAAUAUCGGUAAUUUAAAAACACGGAAAAUUCGAUGGAAAUAUCGGAAUAUUAUCGAUAUCAAUAAAAAUUAAAUAAAAACCACGGAAAUUGUAAGAAAAACUUGGAAAUUUUUAUUGAAACUUUGCAGGAUGUUUAUUUAGUCAAUUAUCUAUUAGUUUAUCCCAAAACAAUUGGAAGGAAAUGCAUUGGAUGAUAAAUAUAACUGAUUUAAGUUGAAUAUAUAACGAGCUGGCAAACAUUGUGAGUGUAGAAAAUAUGUAGUAAUUAAUGAAAAAAGUUUAAACACACCAUAAUCAUUUAUAUAUAAUGAAUUAGUACAAUAUUUUACACUUUAUACAUUGCAUAGUAAGAUACAUGAGUGACUUAGCAAGGUCUAAAAUAUCGAUGAUAUCGGAAAUAUCGGUAGUCCAAAAAAAUAUCGAUAGUCCAAAAACACGGAAAUUUCGAUGGAAAUAUUGGGAUAUUAUGGAUAUUUUAGACCAUGGUCAUGAUUAAGCCACAUCAACAUUUUAUAUUCUCAUUACUUUUUAUCUUCUUAUUCUUUUAUAAAAAAUCAAUAGAAAUAUUGAUAUAACUUAACCGUAACCAUAUAAUAUAAAAGGGCAUGAGACAAACAUGAAAUGGAGAGAACAGACAUUCCAAGUUCUUUUAUGAAAGCUUGCUUGAUUUGAUAGAAAUAUUUUUUUAUAAUGAAAACGAUAAUAUUGCAUUGAUAGCAAAGUUACAAAAAGAAAUGCUAGGGAAGUCUUUCAAAAGUGAAGUUUUUCACAAAUUCUUUGACACUUAACAUUUUUGAGAAUUAUUUUUUAAGAAAACUAAUGAAAAGAGUUUGAAAACUUUGAGUUUUAAUGAUAAGGACAAAAUAAAGAGUAAAGUAAAUAGUAUCAGAUUUGACUUUUUAGUGUAAAAAUGUAAUUUUUCGUUAAAGUGAACAGUACCAUGGGCUUUUCGUUAAAACCCCCUUAUUUUUUACAUUGUUUUAUAAUGUUGAUACGGAAAUUGACGUUAAACUAUGAAGUGACAAAAAAUUGAUAAUGAGUCUCUAUUUUGAAAAAAUCCUUUUAGCAUUUCUCUUUUAGCACAAAAGGAGAACACAAAGGUCAGUCCAUUACCAUUGAUGAACAUCCUCCAAGAUCACAUCGGCUAUAAAGCCGGGAGGUGCAUCUAACCAAAUACAAGGACUAACAGCUCCAAGGGCAUAACGAGCUAGAUGAUGAGCAACAUUAUUGGCUUGACGACUGACUUGGGUAUAAGAAUCCUUAGCGAUCCUCCUCAGCCUCCUCAGUAGGUCUCUGGAAUCUUCAAAAAUAUGGCCAAUGGGAGACAUAUUAAUGGAAGGAUCCUUUAGUGCCGAGAUAAUCUAAAGCAAAUCGCUUGUGAUGGAACAAAGGCGAUUAUAAGUUUUUCACGAUGAAUCGUUAAUUUUUUUGUUUUGUAUGAACAGUUAAAUCAUUUUUAAACUAAAGUACUUUUCUAAAUUAAUUUUUAAAAUAAGAUAAAGAGAAUAAACAAUGUCAACUAUGACGUUCAUUACGAAAGAUGUUGCAUUAAUGAGGAAGGAGAUCUUCCCCCUUUAAUAAGAAUGAACUCUCCAAUAAGAAUGAGAAAUAGCACUAUCCUUCCUAAUAGCACUUAGAACGUGAACAAAUUUCUUUGUUCAAUUAUGUAUAGCAUGUCAAGUUCAUUUUUUUCUUUGUUAGAUAGUGUAGAUGUUAUACUGCCAAGAACGUGAACAAAUUUCUUUGUUCAAUUAUGUAUAGCAUGUCAAGUUCAUUUUUUUCUUUGUUAGAUAGUGUAGAUGUUAUACUGCCAAACUUUUAAAACACUUUUAAAAUCUUUAAAAUUUCAAUAGAAUAUACAGUCUAUUAAACAUGUGAUUCAUGUUCUCAUGGUAAAUACUGAGCCAGGUAUGAACACUUAAAGCAACACAAGUGCUUGGGCAGAUCCACGUAGAAACCAGUGGUCUCGGACGCUCUUGAGUUCGGAAAAAUGCUAGUGAAGGUCUUCUAUGGACUCUUUAGAUGUCUAGUAUGAAUUUUUUUUUUGUGCCAACCAUUUAAUUAAGGUAACUUUAACGAAAAACUCAUAGUACCGUUCAUUUUAACGAAAAACCAUAUUUUUACACUAAAAAGUCAAUCAUUGUACUAUUCACUUUAUUUUUUAUUUUGUUCUUAUAAUUAAAACUCAAAGUUUUCAAGUCAUUUUCAUUAGUUUUCCUUUUAAUUAAUGCAUGUUUGUCAUAUCUCGAUACACUCUGCAUGACGCGUCGAUAUCUGUCGGUAAGAUGCAUCACUCGACAUAUGGUCACGACAGCACUUGGUAGAUCUCAACAUCUACGUAGCAUGCCUCGACAAAGGACGAUAGAAACACCAAGUGCUCCACGAAUUAUGAAUCUGCCACUGAACAAGUGACUACAAGUUUUAAACACUUCCAUAAGAAACAUCAAGAGUUUUAUUUGAUAGAAAAGGAGUUAAGAGCACACAUUGGAAGGAAACUUAUUUAGAUUCUACACUAUUUUACAUACCAGAUACAAGGCUAAUUUGCAUACUGAACCUCCAAGCCCAAGUAGAUAUAUACCACGCACAGCCAUGUUAAAUGGAUCAUGGAUAAGGAAGUCGUGUCUCCAUUUGAAGAUUGCAGGUAGCUUUGCCAAUAUCCCUGAUAAAAUCAUCAAGAUUUGUAUCAGAUGAACCUCAUUUUGCAAUCACUCGGUGUCACAAAUCUCCGAGCUCUUUCGCUCUUCUCCUCAUUUCAGUCCCAUCACUGCUUUCAGGAUCCAUAAAUCUCUUCACAAGUUCAGCAACCUCUUCUCUUGUCAUCAACUUUUCAUCAUGUACCUCUGAUUUAACCCUCUUGCCAAUCUUCCAUCCUUCAACUAUUUGCCAGUUGUUUGGAAUUUGAUCGGGAAAAAGAGGAGAAGUAAGCAUUGGGACACCGGCGAAAACAGCUUCUAAAGUCGAAUUCCAUCCACAAUGUGACCAAAACCCACCCACAGAAGAAUGGCACAACACUUUAAGUUGCUUACACCAUGGCACCACCAACCCCAUACCAUCACUACCACUACAGCUCUCACUCAAUCGAGCCACCUCCCCCAACACAACCCACAAGAACCGAACCCCCGCUACAUUUCAGCCCGGCUGCGAUUUCAUCCAUCUGCAUGUUUGAAACAGAAAGAAAACUCCCCAAUGAGAUGUACAAGAUAGAGGCUAUUGGUUGGGAAUCAAGCCAUUUCAUAUAGUCAAUGCCAUUGUCACCAACUGACACAGAGGAAUUUUUUCCAAGCUCCAAGUAAGGUAUGGCAAGACCAAUUGGGUACACAGGGAAUGGGAGUUUCUCCUGGAAAGUGUUUGUGGCUAGAAUUUCCGUUGGGGAUGUUUCCUAGCGGACGAACACACAGCUCCCCGAGAGGUUGGCGCAGGUUGAUACUUUCUGUCGGGCUUCUGCUCACUGGCGGGCUUGUCGGGCAAAGCUUGUCGAGCAAGGCUUGUCGGGCAAGGCUGAAAGAAAAGGACAUGGUUAACUUUGAAAGGUGUCUUUAUAGGGCCUUAGGUGUAGGCCUUUAGGCUCACAAUUAAGAUUAACUUUUAGGUGUUCAGGCGUGCCAUUGCCAUCUUCAGCAUGGCAGAUGUAAAACAGAUGUUGAGUUUUAAUUGUAUAUAUACCCGAGAAGCUGUUUUAGUUUAUGAAAAGUGCCUUUAUGGGGCCUUAGGUGUAGGCCUUGAGGCUCUCAAUCAAUAACUAACCCAGUACUCGAACAUAUAAUGUUUGUUUCAUUGAUUGCAUAAGUGUUAUGACUAUUAUACUUCUAAUUACCCGAGCCCGAAAAGUAGAAUGAAUCCAAAUAUGUGCCUUUGUAGGGCCUUAGGUGUAGGCCUUGAGGCUUCCCAUCAGAAUUACUUCUAUACUCAAAUGUUCUACGAUAAUCAUAAUAUAACAGAAAUAAAACUAGGAAAUAGGUCGAUUACUUGCGCCCCAAGUAACUUCGGACUUCUUCUUAUCAAAGACUGUCGUGGAUGGGUUAAAUCCACAUAAGGUUCUUUUUUAUGCCUUGAGACCAAGGACUUUUGAAUGAUCAAUCUUACAUGUCCGAGGGUUUAGAACUUAGAUCUUAUUUAAACUGUGAAUACAGAUUCCAAUCGAAUUCAAGAACUGAGGAGUCUUUUAAGCAUUAACUUGCUAGAAAUAACUUGGAUACCAAUGGAAGUAUACAACAUAUUACUAGACUUAUGAAUGAAAAGACAAAAACAAAGAGGGUCGGGCAAGGUUUCACCUUGUCGGGCAAGGCCUGUCGUCUUGCAACUUCCUAUCUUUAUGACUGAUAAAGGGGUUUGAGAGCUUAGAGAAAAGGAUAGGGGGAUGAGUUUACAGAAAGAAAUCGAUACUACAGUAAGAUUUAGACAAGGUAGCAGAGCUUUUACAAAGGCUUUAGGGUUGAUCCCGAAAGGGAUGAAAGCUUGGGCUGACUACGGCUUCGUUGAAGGCAAAUCUGGCUUGAGCAAAGUUUGUGCUUGUAUUUGUUUGUUUGUUUGAGUGUCCUCAUCUCUGAUUUCUCUUUCUUCCUUUAUAGACAGUUUGACUUGGCCUUCUGUAGCAUUAAUCUUGCCUGAAUGCAGCUUGAAGGGCAAUGACUCAUCAGUUUUUUACUUGUACUGCCACUGUAAAGUGAUUUUAGGCUGAUUAGCUGGCUGGUCUACACCACUUGGUCUCUAAGUAGGUGAAUAAGUGGUUCAAAUGAUCUGCACAUAGUCGGGAAAAGGCCUUUUCUGCCUUCUGGGCUUUGGCUGAGCUUCGGGCUCCUUUCCUCCUAGUCCUUCUUUUGGGCCAAUUCCCUUUUGAGCCCAAAGUUCAAGUUUUAACCCAAACAGAAAUAGUGGAAGGUUUCAGGUUCGAGCUUAUAAAUUGUAGUGAACAGAAAACACUGAGCUUUUGGAACCCAUGAAAUGCAUUCCAGAGCAAGCUUCAUGACUUUAGGGUCGAUUCUUCGAAACACUUCUCCAAGGUCUGCUAAAUCAGAUGAAAAAAUCCCUGUAAUUUGGUCUCUAGAAUCUAUCACAUAGAAACAGAAAACUCAAUUUCCAUAUUAAUUUCAAUUUGUUAGAAAAAGGAAGAUCUUUAAAGUAAGACCCCUCAAAGUUAGAAUUUUGAAUCAGUCAACUAACAUGUGCCUAGAAGUUUUAAACACUUUCAUCACAAACAUCAACAAAAAGUUGAGUUUUAUUUGAUAGAAAAAAAAAGAACAAAACAAAGGCAAACAACAAAACAAGAAAUGCUGACCAGGUGGGACAAGGAUUAAAAUACUCAGAACCAGGGAGAAAAAAGUCGACCAGGACCAACAAAGAUAACAAUCGCUGUUCUGGUUUUCUUCCAUUAAUUGUUGUGUUUUCGGCUGGUGAUUUAGUAAUAGGGAUGGUUGGGGAUUGUAUUUCCGCUUUGUUUCUUUAGUAUUAUUUUGGAUCAUUUUCGCCCCUUUCAAGCCCUAAUUAGUUUUUGUCAGAAUUGGGGGAAGGGUUUGGCCCAUGUGGUCCUUGUCUUAAUGGGGAAGCUGAGUUCCCUAAUCCCCGACAAAAUGAGUCGGAAGGGGAAUCUGACACAGAUGAUUAUGCCUGACUGUAAUGAGACGAAACCCAUAACUACUAAAGGCUUCAGGUCUUCAAUUUCCACCGGAUACAGGUUACUCCAACCACCAAUAUUAAUUGCCAUUAUCUUAUAUUUACAACAAACAAAAGAAACUGAUUGUGGGGUGGAAAAGAAUACUAUUUACUCUGUUGUUAGACUGGAAAAAGCCCAUUUGUUGCACUUGAAGUACUCUGCAGUGCAAACGAGUCAAACUUUGCAGCUCAAUUCGGAUAUGGCGCAGCAGGGAGUGGAGGAGCUUAUGGUUCAUUUGGAGAAAGCAAUGGACUUGUUAGCUAUGGAGCAAGGUGUUAAACUUGUGGGUUCGGUGCUAGCGAACAAACCUCUAAACAGAUGGGGAGUGAGGAACAUUCUACGUGCGACUUGGAAGAGUUAUGGUGAAAUAAAGAUCAAAUGGGUAAAAGACAACAUCUUUAUCAUCACGGUCCCAGAUGAAAGUGUGGCAGUAAAGAUUCUUGAUCAGGUGCUUUGGAGGGUUAUGAAAAAAAACUUCUUGGUCAAUAUUUGGCCCGCAGUGCUUGCUUUGGAGGAAGUUGAAGUGGAGAAAGUCCUGUUUUGGGUCCAUAUACGAGGAGUCCCUCUUUGCAUCACCUCUUUAGAGAAUGUCAAACGGUUGACUACAGAGGUGGGGACAUGUAUGGCUAUGGAAGAUCCAGUAAAAACUCGCAGGUUUUUUAAGGUUAGACUUUUGAUUGACUCGACCAAACCACUAGUUACUGGAUGCUGGUUAAGAAGAGAGAAUAAUUAAGAUACGUGGGUAGAAUUUUACUAUGAGAGAUUACAAGAUUUCUGCUAUAGAUGUGGACGCCUAAGACAUGUUAAUACGGAUUGCACUUUUAAGGCAGCCAAAGCCGGGGCAGCAGGUUUCGGAGAUUGGAUGAAGGAACCUCCAGUUAGGGAUGUGACGGAGGUAUCAAAAGUCAUGAUGACAGGAACGGGUGAUCGAAGGAAAGCUGGAGCGGUCAGACUGCCUGCUACAUAUUUAACUUCUUUAGGGACUACUAGGCUGGAUCAUUCCACAGAGUUUUCUGCGGAUAGUGUAAAGGAUAGGGAUAAGGUGCAAGUUCAGGGAGAAGGAAGUGCUAUCCAACCAAAUGGGAGGAAAAAGUGGCAAAUGAGGUCUCGUGACCAGAGACACAUCGAAGGUUCGGUGGGGAUAAAUAAUCAGCUACAUUGGCUUAUUCCACAGGGUGUAAGACAAUCGUUAUGGGGCACUGGGUCUAGUUGCUAUACUUUUUUUAAAAACUUGAAUGUGUAGCAGCCGGGGGCCGGUAUGCAAUCGGUUGUUAUACAUGAGAUCAAUGAGGAGACGACUACAUUGCAACAAGUGGCUGAUAGGGGUAAAGUAAAUGAUCAGGGAGAGGGUGGAUCCUUGACUUUCCCAGACUCUUCUCCUUCGGUUAGAAAUAGACAGAAAAAGGAAAAGGGAACCUCUAGUGAUGGAAAUAUCACAAUCUCCUCAAAAGAAGGGCAGGGGUUCUGAUAAUGCUUUCUCUGUAAAAGAUGCGGGUCUUCUGGCCUGGGAUGGUGGCGGCUGGCCCUCAACAACCGCAAAGUCCCCAUGAUCUUUCUAUUUUGGAACUGCCGUGGUCUGGGGUCGGACAUAGUAGUUCGGGCCCUUCAUGGGCAGAUAAGAAAUGCAAGACCCUCUAUGAUCUUUCUUUCUGAAACAAAGAUGAAAGAUCAUAGAAUUAAUGGAGUACGUAGAAUGAUGGGGUUCACGAAUGGGUUUAAAGUUCCUCCCAUGGGAAGGGUAGGCAGCCUAAGUUUAUGGUGGGAGGAUUCAAUAGAGGUGAACAUUCUCUUCUCCUCUAAACAUGUAAUUGAUGCUCAGGUGAAGUCUUGUGAGAUACAGCAAUGGGUUCGUGUCACUGGGAUUUACAGAACAGCUUAUAGAGGCGAAAAAGCGGAAUUCUGGGGAUGGAUGAAUGAUCACUUUACCUCUUCUGAUAUGCCCUGGCUUUGUGGGGGGGGGGGAUUUCAAUGAAUUUAUUUGGGAUCAUGAAAAAUCGGGCGGAGCUCAUGGCAAGGAAUGAGGAAUGGCGAACUAGUGGAGGAACGUCUAGACCGAGGUCUGAUAAACAAGAAAUGGCAGGAUCUUUGGCCAAAUUCCACUGCUAUUCACGGGACAGUUCUGGGGUCUGACCACUGUCCGGUUAUUAUCAAAACGGAGUUGGAUGGAAAGAAGGGAAGAAAACUCUUCAGGUUUGAAGCUUUUUGGGCGAAGGAAGAUGAUUGCAGGAAGUUGGUGGAAAAUUGUUGGGCCCGGCCGAACUGUGGGGAUGUCCAAAGGAGAUGGGUGAAGAAAAUCUAUGACUGUCGAUCUCUCUUGAUCAAAUGGAGCAGAAACAAAUUUAAAAAAAAAAGGAGAUUACAGAUUGAGGAGUUACUCGGACAGUUGGGGGAACUUCAAAUGAAUUGGAGCACAAAUGUAUCCGAGAUAAAAGAGAAGUCCAAACUUAUUGAUACUAUGUGGGCUCAAGAGGAAAGUUUCUGGCACCAAAGGUCUAGGGUGAAAUGGUUAUGGGAAGGAGAUGCGAACACUAAGUUUUUCCAUCAAUCCACUCUACAGAGACGCGGACGAAAUAUGAUACUAAAGUUAAAAGAUGGUGAAGACAGUUGGGUGGAGAAUCCCACCCAAAUCCGGAAGCUGGUGGAUAAUCAUUUUCUAAAUGUUUUCAAAUCGGGGGGACCUCGGGACUAGAGAAACUUGCUAGAAGGCAUAAAUACUGGAGUUACAGAUGAGAUGAAUAUGGCUCUCAUGGAGUCGGUUUCCUUGGAGGAAAUAAAUGAGGCUGCUUUUCAAAUGGGGGGUCUCAAAGCUCCAGGUCCGGAUGGUUUUCAGGGGAUUUUUUACCGGUCUUUCUGGGAGAUUAUUGUGUAAGAUGUAAACAAUCUAGUGAGGUCUUUAAUGCAAGAUGUGGUCAGCCCGACGGAGAUAACUAACACCCAUAUUGUGUUGAUCCCAAAGAUUCCAAACCCAGAGUCAGUGUCUCAUUUUCGUCCCAUAAGCCUAUGCAAUUAUUCUUACAAGGUGCUAUCCAAAGUUCUGGCUAACAGGUUAAAAGUCAUUCUACCGCAAAUUAUUUCUCCUUCUCAGAAUGCUUUUGUGGCAGGAAGACAGAUUCAGGAUAAUAUUGGGAUAGGACAUGAGGUGUUUCAUUUUCUGAAAGGGCGCAAGUCAAAAAAUAAGUUCGAGUUGGGUAUUAAAGUGGACAUGCAAAAAGCUUAUGAUAGAGUCGAAUGGGAUUUUCUGAAUGCAACAAUGGAAAAAUUGGGUUUCUGCAAACAGUGGAGGAAACUUAUCAUGGGAUGUGUGUCUCCUGUCAAGUUUGCUGUCAUUCUCAACGGGCAUUCCGGAAACAAGUUUGCUCAUUCUAGAGGCUUACGGCAGGGAGACCCUCUAUCACCGUAUUUGUUCCUUCUGAUUGGAGAAGUUUUAUUCAGAUUGAUCCAAGUUGCGGUGGAAAACAAGUCUUUGGAUGAUGUGAAAUUGGGAGUCACUGGGCCAGUUCUUUCCUAUAUUUUCUUUGCAGAUGAUAUGUUAAUUUUUUUUAGAGCAAAUGAGAAAAAUUGCAGGAAUCUUGUCAAUCUCCUUAGGUCGUUCUGUGAUGCCUCAGGUCAGGAAGUAAACUUACAAAAAUUCAGUGUUUUCUUUGGGGCGAAUACUCUGGUGAGAGUUUCUGAGGAGUUGGGAUCUAUUCUUGGCAUGCCAGUAGUUGACAACCCGGGUACUUAUUUGGGAGUCCCGACUUUAUGGGGACGCUCAAAGAAACAGGGCCUCGCUUAUGUGAAGGGGAGAAUUAUAGAGAAACUUCAAGGGUGGAAAAACAGUACCCUUUCGAAGGCGGGCAAAGAGGUCCUAAUUAAGGCGGUUGUUCAGGCUAUACCUGCAUAUCCAAUGAAUAUCUUUAAAUUUCCGGCUAUGGUCUGUGAGGAGUUGGACACUUUGGUUGCUGGUUUUUGGUGGGGAAACAUGAGUGGUGACAAUAAAAUUCACUGAGUGUCGAAGAAGGUCUUGGGCCUCCCUAAGAAUUUGGAGGGUUUGGGCUUUCGAAACUUCAUGGAAUUCAAUGAUGCGCUUCUAGCAAAACAAUGUUGGCGUCUUCUUUGUGAUCCAUCCUCACUGUGUGCUAAAGUGAUUAAGGCUCGUUACUUUCCCAAUUGCUCUUUCUUGGAUGCCAAAAAAUGGGGUAGGGCCUCUUGGGCUUGGAGUAGCCUUCUUAUGGGUCGUGAUCUUCUUAUUAAUGGAACUCACUGGCAAAUUAUGGGAGGUCAGGAUGUGAGAGUCUGGGUUGAUCGAUGGUUACCCUUCAUUCCUUUAGAGCGUCCUUCUCCGCUUGGUGAGGCUAUGGUGACUAGAAACCUUCAUGUUAGCUCGCUUAUUUUCCCUCAGUCUCGUGAUUGGGAUAUCAUUUUUCUACUUCCUUUCCUUUCGAUGGCUGACCAAGAGGCAAUUGAAGGUACGCCUAUUGGGGAUAUUAGUAGACGAGAUCGUUUGAUUUGGGCUGCAACAAAAAAUGGUAGGUACACGGUAAAAUCUGGGUAUAGAUGGUUGCAAUCAAGGUCUCUGAGCAUGAGAGAUCAUCGCCUACCUCUUGUUCGAUCUAUCCCGGAGAAGCUGUGGAAUUGUAUAUGGAAGGUCGAUGUUCCACCAAAGAUCCGCCAUUUUCUAUGGAACUCUAUGCACAAUAUCGUGGCAACUAAAGCGAAUCUGUACAAGAGGCGGUCUACCACUUCCCCCACCUGUCCUAUUUGCUUGGGCGAUGACGAAAUUGUUGAACAUUUAUUCCUUGUCUGCCCGUGGGUUCAAGCUGUUUGGUUUAGAGGGGUUUUGGGUUAUAAGAUAAACAGGCUGGCUAUUAACUCAUGGAUAAGUUGGUUGCAUGAUAUUUUUAAUCCUAAUAUUGGUAAUUCUGUUGAGUUAUUAUGAAUCCAAAGGAUGGUGGCUUACAUUUGUUGGUAUAUUUGGAAAGCCAGGUGUGCUUUUGUGUUUAACCAGGUGCGAAUCAACCCAUUAAAUGUUGUUUUGGCAAUCUCUAAUGCGGUGAGGUCUUUCCUGGCUGUUUCCAACGAUUCGGUGGUUUCUAGGGUUUAGGAGUGUGUCGGCCAGGCUCCAGGCCGAGCCACUUUUUGGGUUCCUCCUCCUCCUCCUUUCACUAAAAUAAAUGUUGAUGCCAGCUGGUUCAAGAUGUCGUGUUUGGGGUUUGUGGGAGUGGUUUUACGAGACACUGAGGCUCAUUUCAUUGCGGUAGCUCGAUACCACAUUCGGGCCCCAUGUGCUGUAGUUGCCGAAGAUUUGGCUUUGCUUCGCGGAUGUGAACUGGGUGCAGCUUUGGGUUUUUCUGAGGUAAUCCUGGAAUCUGACUCUUCCGAGGCGAUUUCUUGCCUCUCAAAUUCUAUGAAGAAUGGCAGUUGGGAGGCUAGUCCUACAUUAGAAAGGGUGAAGCUCUUGGGGGAAGACUUUCAGAACUGUCGCUGGUCUUGGGUCCCAAGAUCAGCCAAUAUGGCGGUUAAUGCUCUUACGUCGCGUGAUUUUGCGGAGCUGUGUGAUGUUGUUUGGGUCGAUAGGCCACCAUCUUCACUGGUUUUUGUUUUAAACAAUGAUGGUCUUCCAUGUCCUCAUUAGCUGUAGGUGGUAGUGUAGGGGGUGACGUUUUUGCCUAGUGGAAGCGUCUCUGUUUGUAACUCUUUACACUGCCUUCCUUACUUUUUCUUGUCUGUUGUUUGCCUCUUUGUUGACUAUCUUGUUUCCUCUCUAGCCUCUGUGCCCUGGAAUACUAUUUCCUUGUUCUUCAAAAAAACAAAACAAAACAAAACAAAACAAGAAAUGCUCAAUCCUCACGCACACCCUCUGCGAAAUGUCUAAUGAAGGCCUUCAUGUUGGUAUGAGAUGAUCCACCUUCUGCAAUGGCAUCAUGACAUAAUUGCGUAAGUUCUCUGUCUCUCCUCAUUUCCUUCCCUUCAUCAUUUCCAAAUCCAUAAACUUCUUCACUAACCCUGCAAUCUCCUCUCUUGUCACCAAAUGGUCAAUUUUAUCCUCAACCUUCCUCACCCUCCAUCCAACCCUCCAAUCCUCCACAAUGAGGUUACUAUUCAUUCCUUGAUCAAGUAGUAUAGCUAAGGUUACAAAGGGAGCACCAGCAAAAACACCUUCCGUAACCGAGUUCUAUCCACAAUGACUCGAAACACCCCCCCCCCCCAAAAAAAAACCCUCGAAUGGCACAAAAUCCUCAAUUGAUCACACCAAGGCACUACCAACCCCAUGUGGUGACCGUAACCGAGUUCCAUCCACAAUGACUAGAAACACCACUCCUCCCCACACAAAUACUCGAAUGGCACAAAACGCUCAAUUGGUCACAGCAAGGCACUACCAAUCCCAUGUCACGACAAACCUCCUUUAUCCUUUCGGUUUCCCCAUGAACCGAACGCCACUCUUGCGGAAGCCGGCUGCAUGCUAGAAACUGAAAGGAAACUUCCCAUGGCAAGGUACAAAAUGGAUACAGGAAAAUAAGCAAGGGUCUCGAAGAGACGAGGGAUAGAACCUGUGAAUCGCUCAACCAAAGGCAACAGAACUCGCUCGACCGCUAAUCGUGAAUUCGUUCACACGACCAAGUCAAACACUUGAUUUGAGAAGGAGGAAAAUACUCUCUUCAGUUGCACAAAACAAUAUAUUUGUAAUUAAUCAAGUCUCCCAAAUGCUUGUAUUACAUCAUAAGAGACACCAUAAUCUAGAUGAACUUAACAAAUUCCCAAGUAAUUAAAAUAGACAGCCUUUAUUAUUUCCAAAGCAUGGUAGUGGUCUUCAAAUUGUUUUCUUCAAGGCCUGCCUCCCGAAUAAAAAACUGAGCUACAAGGUUGUGAGUCUAGCCAUUGGAAUAGUUAGCAUCACACGUUUAUUUCCCUGAUCUGUUAACAAUGCAAAAUUGUUGUUUUAAUAGCAAAGUUCCACAAUAAACACGAAAUCUUAAAACGAAAUGUUAGACGGACAACACGAGGAUGUGUUACUGUCAUAUACGUAAAACUAUUAGUUGACACUCACUAUUAUCUUAAGAAAAAUGUUCUCUAGCUGCACGUUUGCUCAAUUCAACACUACUGUCAUUAGAAGUUGUGGUAGCGACACUCAGAAGAUGGCACUCUCACCGGUGAUGUGAUACAACCAAAUUGCAGUGUGCAAUCUUCUUACUUGUUGAUUGUAUCCAUAUAUGGAAGCUAGAACUUAAAAAUAAGUCCUCCAGGGAUUUUAAAGCUUGCAGCGGCCAUGCCUAACUGCUUUUUAUACAGUUUGGUUGUGCCAGACCCGUUCAAAGUGAAACAGGAAACACCCUCAUAUGAAACAUAAUAAGAACAUAAUUCUCAAGAAAAUGGGAGUUUGGAAAGUUUCCAAUUUUUAUUACUCCACAAAUGAAUUUGAUCCCAAUUGAUCCCAGGUUUGGUACAAACUGGGGUCCCAACCAAACUGGAAACACCCUCAGAUGAAACACAAUUGAGUAUUUUAGAGUGCCGAUAGCAGCGCCUUAAAUAAAACCGAAAGUGCAAAAUCAGAUACAAACAGCAACAACAAAGUCUUAUCUCACUAAGUGGAGUCAGUUGGCAAAGCUAGAGCAAACAUUCCACAUAGUUGAGAAUGCACUUGAAGUACAACCCCUUGCACCGACACUUUGUAUUUUCAUCGACGCACAAGACAAAUCACUACAAGCUUUGCACCGUCUUUUGAGAACUAGCAACAACAAGAUUCAGUGUGCUCAAUGCUUAUGCAUGGCCUUGAAAAAUGUCUCCAACGAAGGCAUUGAUGUUCGUUUGAGAUGAUCCGCCUUCUUCAAUAGCAUCAUGACAUAUCUGUUUAAGUUCUCUGGCCCUUCUCCUCAUUUCUCUCCCUUCAUCGUCCUCCAAAUCCAUAAACUUCUGCGCCAGCCCAGCAAUCUCCUCGCUUGUCACCAAAUGGUCCCUUUUGUCCUCAGCCUUCCUCAACCUCCACCCAACUUUCCAAUCCUCCACAAUCAGCUUACUAACCAUGCCUUGAUCCAUACCUAACGGAAAG